GAUGAACGCUGGCGGCGUGCUUAACACAUGCCAGUCGAACGGAAAGGCCCAAGCUUGCUUGGGUACUCGAGUGGCGAACGGGUGAGUAACACGUGGGUGAUCUGCCCUGCACUUCGGGAUAAGCCUGGGAAACUGGGUCUAAUACCGGAUAGGACGAUGGUUUGGAUGCCAUUGUGGAAAGUUUUUUCGGUGUGGGAUGAGCUCGCGGCCUAUCAGCUUGUUGGUGGGGUAAUGGCCUACCAAGGCGUCGACGGGUAGCCGGCCUGAGAGGGUGUACGGCCACAUUGGGACUGAGAUACGGCCCAGACUCCUACGGGGGGCAGCAGUGGGGAAUAUUGCACAAUGGGCGCAAGCCUGAUGCAGCGACGCCGCGUGGGGGAUGACGGCCUUCGGGUUGUAAACUCCUUUCGCUAGGGACGAAGCGUUUUUGUGACGGUACCUGGAGAAGAAGCACCGGCUAACUACGUG
rnacentral:rRNA from 1 species